CCUACGGGUGGCUGCAGUGGGGAAUAUUGCACAAUGGGCGCAAGCCUGAUGCAGCCAUGCCGCGUGUGUGAAGAAGGCCUUCGGGUUGUAAAGCACUUUCAGCGGGGAGGAAGGCGUUAAGGUUAAUAACCUUGUCGAUUGACGUUACCUGCAGAAGAAGCACCGGCUAACUCCGUGCCAGCAGCCGCGGUAAUACGGAGGGUGCAAGCGUUAAUCGGAAUUACUGGGCGUAAAGCGCACGCAGGCGGUCUGUCAAGUCGGAUGUGAAAUCCCCGGGCUCAACCUGGGAACUGCAUUCGAAACUGGCAGGCUAGAGUCUUGUAGAGGGGGGUAGAAUUCCAGGUGUAGCGGUGAAAUGCGUAGAGAUCUGGAGGAAUACCGGUGGCGAAGGCGGCCCCCUGGACAAAGACUGACGCUCAGGUGCGAAAGCGUGGGGAGCAAACAGGAUUAGAUACCCCUGUAGUC
rnacentral:rRNA from 1 species